CUUUUCUGAGUUUGACCUCGAAUCAGGUAGGAUUACCCGCUGAACUUAAGCAUAUCAAUAAGCGGAGGAAAAGAAACCAACAGGGAUUGCCCUAGUAACGGCGAGUGAAGCGGCAACAGCUCAAAUUUGAAAUCUGGCCCUCGGGUCCGAGUUGUAAUUUGUAGAGGAUGUUUUUGGUGAGGUACCUUCCGAGUUCCCUGGAACGGGACGCCAUAGAGGGUGAGAGCCCCGUCUGGUUGGAUACCGAUCCUCUGUAAAACUCCUUCAACGAGUCGAGUAGUUUGGGAAUGCUGCUCUAAAUGGGAGGUAUAUGUCUUCUAAAGCUAAAUAUUGGCCAGAGACCGAUAGCGCACAAGUAGAGUGAUCGAAAGAUGAAAAGCACUUUGAAAAGAGAGUUAAAAAGUACGUGAAAUUGUUGAAAGGGAAGCGCUUAUGACCAGACUUGGACUUGGUUGAUCAUCCUGGGUUCUCCCUGGUGCACUCUUCCAGUUCAGGCCAGCAUCAGUUCGUCGCGGGGGAUAAAGGCUUCGGGAAUGUGGCUCCCUCGGGAGUGUUAUAGCCCGUUGUGUAAUACCCUGCUUUGGACUGAGGUUCGCGCAUCUGCAAGGAUGCUGGCGUAAUGGUCAUCAGCGACCCGUCUUGAAACACGGACCAAGGAGUCGUCUUCGUAUGCGAGUGUUCGGGUGUUAAACCCCUACGCGUAAUGAAAGUGAACGCAGGUGAGAGCUUCGGCGCAUCAUCGACCGAUCCUGAUGUUCUCGGAUGGAUUUGAGUAAGAGCAUACGGGGCCGGACCCGAAAGAAGGUGAACUAUGCUUGUAUAGGGUGAAGCCAGAGGAAACUCUGGUGGAGGCUCGCAGCGGUUCUGACGUGCAAAUCGAUCGUCAAAUAUGAGCAUGGGGGCCAAAGACUAAUCGAACCUUCUAGUAGCUGGUUUCCGCCGAAGUUCCCCCUCAGGAA
rnacentral:rRNA from 1 species